UUAAGGGGGGUAAAGAAUAAAAGAAAAUGGCCCUGGGCCAACAAAUUCUCGGAGACGAAAGAAGAAGGCUAAAGAGUUGCGAAGAGAGAAAGCUUUACUAAAUUCUAGAUCUUUUGGUGGUGUGUGAAAGUCCAUUGGCAGAAGAGGUAGAUUCUCUUUAUUGGAGAAGAUGAGACGUAUGACAGUCACCAAGAUUCCCUCUGAUCAGAGAUGCUGCAGACAUUACCGUGUAUCUUGAGAAGAAAAUUCGUGUCACCUCUGACCCCCAGUUUGUUUGUGCACAACAUUCUGAUAUGCUUCUCUCUCUUGAUUUUCAUCCUGGCAACCGUGAAUUAAAAACGUACAUGACUUGCACUUUGAAAUUUUGUAGUCCCUUUGAAGGUCAGUUGAAGAUUGCAGGUACUCCAUCGAUUUUAAUCAUCUGAAGAAAGUUCAUCAUUGUGGUACAAGGUUUUCUGUCUAUGCACCACCGAGUGCCGAACUGUAGUUUGUGAUAGCGUCGAAGGAAAUGUAAAUGAUGAUCCCUUGUUUGAGUGAUGUAGGUUGUGCCUGAUCUUGAUCAUUGAUAUUCAGAAAUUAGUAUUGACGAAAGCCUGUGUGUAUUUUGACUGCUAUCUGAUUUAUGUGGAUGCUUUCGGGGCGGUUUAAGGAUAAUACAGAAGGAUUAACCUUACUCUUUUGUUUCAAUCACUGAAGCUUCAUUCAAGUAAAAUGCAGUUUGAGAAACUUGUUUACAAGGAUUUUGUUAUUGUAAAGAAGCUCGAUUUGGAUCAUUUCCCCUGCCAGAGAAGCAUUGGAGAAACUGGUCGCAAUCACAAAGGUUUAUUGUUUAAUUGACAGUUGCAGUUGAUUGAACAUAUUAGCAGUUAUCAUUUAAAUCUUAUGCCUUGUAAAUCAGAGUCAUCAACUAUACAUUGAAUGAUUAAUUCUUAAUUAACGAUAUGUAAAUACACGAGACUACUGGUCCUUUAUA